rnacentral:rRNA from 1 species
GAUCAUGGCUCAGGAUGAACGCUGGCGGCGUGCUUAACACAUGCAAGUCGAACGGGAAAUAUUUUAUUGAAACUUCGGUCGAUUUAAUUUAUUUCUAGUGGCGGACGGGUGAGUAACGCGUGGGUAACCUGCCUUAUACUGGGGGAUAACAGCCAGAAAUGACUGCUAAUACCGCAUAAGCGCACAGAACCGCAUGGUUCCGUGUGAAAAACUCCGGUGGUAUAAGAUGGACCCGCGUUGGAUUAGCUAGUUGG